UUAUCAUAUAACUAACUCUUUGUUUCAUCUCUCGAUAGCUUUCAUUUUUAACUAUGGCUUCUUUCGGCGUGGUUUCUCUUUUUGCAGUUUUGCUUGUGGCUUUUUGUGUAUCAAACUCAGAAGCAUGCACUCGUGACAUAGACUGUUUGGGCCAGUGUAAACAUGGUGGUUUUUGUGACUUGACAACUAAAAAAUGUAGUUGCUUGCCGGUGUCGGGGCAGCUACCAUCUAACAUUGCAGCAACAGUGGAUGCUAUGCAACGAUGAAAAAAACUGCAAAGGAUUGCCCACCAGCUUGUUAAGCCCAUAACAUUCAAGCUUGUUAAGCCUUUCAACAAUGUCAUAUAUCAUAAGAUAAACUUUGUAUCCAAAAAAUUUGCAAAUAAAUGAUUAGUGAAUAAAAAGGUUGUUAAAGAGAAUUAA